AGAUAGUGCAUCUAAUUAUUCUGCAAUUCAAAAAUUGAAGCCGUGAUUGCAGACUCAGGAUAUUCCCAUGAAAUGAGAAGACUCGUAUGUCGUUUCUAUACUUAAACAUGGAACUUAAACAUUAAGUUAAACCUAUUCCAAAUACAUUUUCAAACUAUUCAAAUGAUGAAAGUUAUUGUUGUUUUUAAGCGUUUAUUAGCGAGUGGGAAACUCCAACAUGGCCGCCAUCUAUUCAAAUGGGGGUAACCGCUGGAAUAUUCUUGGCUUC
rnacentral:lncRNA from 1 species